ACGCGGGGAGGUGACCGUUGAGCCCAAACAGGCGGCGUCACCAGCCAAUCAAUAUGCUUCCAGACGUUUCAGCGACCAAUUAAUAAGAACGCCUCCGAUCCAGCCAGCGUCCCAUGCUCGGUGGCCCCAGAAAAGUCAGUGUGUAGGCCUCAGCCACUUCAGGUCCGGCGUACAUUCUCCCUGGACACCAUCCUCAGCUCCUACCUUCUGGGCCAGUGGCCACGAGAUGCUGAUGGGGCCUUCACCUGCUGCACCAAUGACAAGGCCACCCAGGCUGGAGUGCAGUGGUGCGAUCUUGGCUCACUGCAACCUCUGCCUCCCGGGUUCAAGUGAUUCUCGUGCCUCAUCCUCCCAAGUGGCUGGGAUUACAGACGCCCCUGUCCUGGCAAGAGCUAGAAGGUGAGCGUGCCAGUUCCUGUGCACACAAGCGCUCAGCAUCCUGGGGCAGCACAGACCACCGAAAAGAGAUUUCCAAGUUGAAGCAACAACUGCAGAGGACGAAGCUGAGCCGCAGUGGGAAAGAGAAGGAGCGAGGUUCACCACUCCUAGGGGACCACGCAGUGCGGGGAGCA
rnacentral:lncRNA from 1 species